rnacentral:rRNA from 1 species
GAUGAACGCUGGCGGCGUGCCUUACACAUGCAAGUCGAACGGCAGCGGGGGAGAAGCUUGCUUUUCCUGCCGGCGAGUGGCGAACGGGUGAGUAAUACAUCGGAACGUGCCCCGUAGUGGGGGAUAACUAGUCGAAAGAUUAGCUAAUACCGCAUACGACCUGAGGGUGAAAGUGGGGGACCGCAAGGCCUCAUGCUAUAGGAGCGGCCGAUGUCUGAUUAGCUAGUUGGUGGGGUAAAGGCCUACCAAGGCGACGAUCAGUAGCUGGUCUGAGAGGACGAUCAGCCACACUGGGACUGAGACACGGCCCAGACUCCUACGGGAGGCAGCAGUGGGGAAUUUUGGACAAUGGGCGAAAGCCUGAUCCAGCAAUGCCGCGUGUGUGAAGAAGGCCUUCGGGUUGUAAAGCACUUUUGUCCGGAAAGAAAUGGCUCUGGUUAAUACCUGGGGUCGAUGACGGUACCGGAAGAAUAAGGACCGGCUAACUACGUGCCAGCCGCCGCCGUAA